rnacentral:sRNA from 12 species
GGCCUAAGUCUUACAAAAUUGUAAGAUAUGGUAUAAAAACCUAACCAAUAAAGGUGGUCUUCUGAUCACAGCACUUAUUGGUUAGGUCUAUGCCCGAAAGGGUAUAGGAUAGUUUGAAAGAACUGUC